rnacentral:lncRNA from 1 species
AAUGAGCUGAAAGAAUGAAUCCUAAAUGGGAACUGACAUCACCAAAGCCGCACACCAACAAGGUGCCAAGUAACUGCUGAGGUACCACAAGUUUGCUAAAGUGAUAUGGUAAGCAGUGUUAAAGCCAAUGUUAUCAACACAGGGUUCCUAACACCUGAAUCAGUUAUUGAGUUCCGAACCUCAGGGCUGUUCUUUAGCCAGCUUUAAUAAAAAGUGCCAAGUGACCUUUGCACCGUUUAUGUGUCUCUCACAUACUUACCUCUUCUCCCCACCAACCAACUUUGGCUGCAGUGGUGAGGAAGAUAGGAAAACUCUUUCCUUCAUCACUUCAUUUAACUUCCAAUCCAAACUGUGGUCCUACAAAGCCGGUCCUGUCAACUGCAAAUAAGAAAAGAAGGAGAGCAGGAUAAAAUGGGAGGCACUGCAAAAUUUUUGGUUCCAAACAUUUUGGGGGGGGGGAUAUAUACAAAUUGUUCAUCAUUGCACAAAACAAAUGAAAAUCCUUUUUCACAUCUCAUAUCUUUCAUAGACUUGCUAUCUGAUGCCAUAAUGUAUAGCAUUUUUAUCAUAUUAAAUAAAAUCUGGAACCUUCUAUGUUUAAUUAAGUGGAUGCACCAUUUUGCACACACUGAAUUUUAUAUACGACACAUUCCCUGAACACAGAAUCUGAAGGAUCAAAUAUGGGCCAAGAAUGCUCAAGUAGACAUUUUCAAACAUCAGUAUCUCACUCACAAUAGAUGUCAAUCUGAAAACAUUCCAGAAACGUCAGUCAACUAAAGUGCUAUAGUUGUUGCAUACUAAAUAUUUAACCAUACUUUAAUUUAGAGCUGAAUUGGGGAUAUAUGUAUGGGAAUUCAGGAAAACAACUCAUAGUAAUGCACAUCUCACUUAUGCCUAGCCCUUGGAAUAUCCAGGAAAAAAUAUUUUAGCAGAGACUACAACAGACAUUUUCAUGUGCUAUGAACCGUCUUUAGUUGCUUUGACCGCAAGGACUAUGGCAUACAUAUAUACAUUCUGAAAUACAUACAUUUUCAUUUACAGCACUUCUACAACUGAUUGAGAUACAUGGAACUUAGCUUGUGGGGAGACCAUUAGUUUACAUUCCAAUUUUAAAAGAUACAGUUGAAAAUAACAGUCCAGUGCAGCAAUAAAAUGUAUUUAAAGCCAUAUGCUUAUUUUCUU